UACAGAGGUCUCAAGCGUUGUUCGGAUUCAUUGGGCGUAAAGGGUGCGUAGGUGGCGCGAUAAGUCGGGUGUGAAAUCUCGGAGCUUAACUCCGAAAUUGCAUUCGAUACUGCCGUGCUCGAGGACUGGAGAGGAGACUGGAAUUCAUGGUGUAGCAGUGAAAUGCGUAGAGAUCAUGAGGAAGACCAGUGGCGAAGGCGGGUCUCUGGGCAUCUCCUGACGCUGAGGCGCGAAAGCGUGGGGAGCAAACGGG
rnacentral:rRNA from 1 species